GUAUACUGAAUGCUCAAUGUUACAUUGACAUUUAAUUUGUCAUACAAAUUUUUGUAAAUUUAGCGUCAUCCAUUACUUCUAUGUACUAAUCUCUUUACAAGAAUUGCCUGCGACGAAAAUUCAUAAUGGAAAACGAGCAAGGAAGAAAGAAAUCUAAGAAAGCACUGUACAUUAUUAUAAUGCUGGGUGCACUACUUCCCCUUGCCCUCUUUAUUUGGCUCUUUAACAUAAAAUGUCCCAUAACUCCUGACCCAUAUACCAUGGACUUAAUAUUUGCAAAUGUGAUGUACAUCGUGUCAUAUCCGGUUAAAGUUCCGGGUAGAUUGCUCUUCUUUACCGCACGUCACCUCCUUGGCUGGUAAGAAUAUUGAUAUGCAGUUGUAGAGGGUUGCUUUGGUUGGGGAUUAUGGAAUACAAAUUUAUCGUCUUUAUGUUACAUACAAUAUAAUUUCGACUAUGACUAAAAUCAUGAAAUACAUUUUGAACACAUUUUA